rnacentral:tRNA from 1 species
UGGCUAUAGCUCAGUUGGUAGAGCCCUGGAUUGUGAUUCCAGUUGUCGUGGGUUCGAAUCCUCUCUCGCCGACCA